CCAGAGAACUUAGCAGAGAUGCUUUGGUGCCUUCGGGAACUCUGAGACAGGUGCUGCAUGGCUGUCGUCAGCUCGUGUUGUGAAAUGUUGGGUUAAGUCCCGCAACGAGCGCAACCCUUAUCCUUUGUUGCCAGCGGCUCGGCCGGGAACUCAAAGGAGACUGCCGGUGAUAAACCGGAGGAAGGUGGGGAUGACGUCAAGUCAUCAUGGCCCUUACGGCCAGGGCUACACACGUGCUACAAUGGCGCAUACAAAGAGAAGCGACCUCGCGAGAGCAAGCGGACCUCACAAAGUGCGUCGUAGUCCGGAUUGGAGUCUGCAACUCGACUCCAUGAAGUCGGAAUCGCUAGUAAUCGUAGAUCAGAAUGCUACGGUGAAUACGUUCCCGGGCCUUGUACACACCGCCCGUCGCACCAUGGGAGUGGGUUGCAAAAGAAGUAGGUAGCUUAACCUUCGGGAGGGCGCUUACCACUUUGUGAUUCAUGACUGGGGUGAAGUCGUAACAAGGUAAGCGUAGCGAG
rnacentral:rRNA from 1 species